rnacentral:lncRNA from 1 species
CUGUGUGCUCCCUCCCAUUGCUCUCUGUGUGCUCCUCCCAUUGCUCUCUGUGCUCCCUCCCAUUGCUCUGUGUUCUCCUCCCACUGCUCUGUGUUCCCUCCCACUGCUCUGUGUGCUCCUCCCAUUGCUCUCUGUGCUCCCUCCCAUUGUUCUCUGUGCUCCCUCCCAUUGUUCUCUGUGCUCCCUCCCAUUGUUCUCUGUGCUCCCUCCCAUUGCUCUCUGAUCCACUGUAAGCAAGCAAGUGGCCUCUGGCUUUCCCUGCCAUGGAGCAACCUAUUGCCACGCCUUCCUCCUUAUGAUGGGCUGCAUCCCUUCAAACCACGAUCCAAAGAAUCGUGAAUGAGUUGUCUCCAUCAGAAAUCUGCUCACAGCAGCAACAAGAACAAAAGAGGCAACUAUAGACCAUGGAGUGUGGAUGGAACUUCAGCUUGGAGAUAUGAGGUUCAGUCCUGAUGUGAUGGGGAGAGUGUUCUGUGUUCUGAUAUGUGACCAACAGAUGGAAAAAUGGACAGACACAGAGACACAUUUGACCAGGGGACUAAAUUCUACAAGGCUGUUAACCAUCAUGAUAGUCAGGACCAAACCAAGGACACCUGGCAAAGAUGGCACCCUGGCCCUCUGCCGUGACUUCAUGCUCUAGCAAUAAGAUCAUAGGACAGCAGAAAGGACAGGAAACCAGCACACCUUCUAGUCUGCUUGAGAGCCAGUGAGGGGCAUGCAAGAACCCUGCCUUCCUGUCUUGUCUUGUCAGCUGGUGAAGAGCAAUCACUGGAAGGACUCUGGGCUGGCAUACUAGCAUGACGGCUUGGCAUCGUGGCACAUCUUCUUUGAAAAAUUGCCAGCAAUGACUGCCUUGUUGU